AACGAACGCUGGCGGCAGGCCUAACACAUGCAAGUCGAGCGCCCUUUCGGGGGCGCGGCGGACGGGUGAGUAACGCGUGGGAAUAUGCCCUUCUCUACGGAAUAGCCUCGGGAAACUGAGAGUAAUACCGUAUACGCCCUUUGGGGGAAAGAUUUAUCGGGGAAGGAUUAGCCCGCGUUGGAUUAGGUAGUUGGUGGGGUAAUGGCCUACCAAGCCGACGAUCCAUAGCUGGUUUGAGAGGAUGAUCAGCCACACUGGGACUGAGACACGGCCCAGACUCCUACGGGAGGCAGCAGUGGGGAAUCUUAGACAAUGGGGGCAACCCUGAUCGAGCCAUGCCGCGUGAGUGAUGAAGGCCUUAGGGUUGUAAAGCUCUUUCAGCUGGGAAGAUAAUGACGGUGCCAGCAGAAGAAGCCCCGGCUAACUCCGUG
rnacentral:rRNA from 1 species